GCGGGGUGGAGCAGCCCGGUAGCUCGUCAGGCUCAUAACCUGAAGGCCGCAGGUUCAAAUCCUGCCCCCCGCA
rnacentral:tRNA from 1 species